GAGGCUAGGGAUUGAACCCAUGUCCUCAUGAAUACUAGCCAGGUUUGUUACCGCUAAGCCACAAUGGGAACUCCCAAAGUUCUAAUUUUUUGAUGCUUCGUAAACUAUGAGAAACAUAGAACAGUCUUAUAUCUUGGAAAUCAUUAAUAUGGUUGCAACUAUGGAAAUUUAAACAAUUAGAUUUUAUGUCCACAGGAGAAAAAACACAUUAGAAGAUUUUUGUAAAUUUUAUAAAUUCCAGGAUGUAUUCUGUGAGUAUAUUAUUAAUAUAAAAUAUCUUGGCCAUGGCAACAGAAUUGGAUUACCUAGGGUGACAAAGGAAAAUUAGAUGACUUGAAUUAUGAGAGUUCCUGGAUACUCAGCAAUUUUGCAGGUGAGUUGCUAUGCUUCUUUAUUAUAUUUUGGUGUAAGCAACAAUAGGGCAAAACUAUAAAACUGGAUUUUCAUAGAUAAUACUUUCUUUACUUGACAUCUUCAAGGAUAGAAAUUCUUAGAGGUUUAUAUGUAAUAAUAGAAUAAUUCUUCAAAAUAGUUUGAAUUAACCAAAAAGGGAUUAGAGGAGAGUUCCAUAACUUAUUCAGACAUUGAACCAGAUAAUAAUUUCAUAUGAUUCUAGAAAAUCAUGUAUUUUUUCAAGUGUGUUUAUUGCUAACAGUUGUUUUAGUUGACAUGUUUUAUGCAGAAGCUAUUCCGUGCUUUUUUUUUUUUUCCACUCUUGUCUUUAAUUUGUCUUUUUUUUAAUGGAGAAAAAAUGUUAUUUGAAGUAAACAUAAAUUUAAGGUUUUUACUUGCAUAUACUCCAUAAUCAUGGUAGUUAUAUAGGACAUUUUUGGCUAUUUGGAAAUUUUGUUUCUAAUCUUUUAUUCUAAUAUUUUGGCUUAAAAUCUAUCUUUGUAUCCUUUGCAGUUCAGAUUUUGGGAGCCAAUUUUUAAGUCAGCAUUUCUUAUUUUCCAUGUAUGUAUAUAAAAUGAAAUGUCAACCAAACUGUCUUUUUAGUCUGAGUCUGUGUUGUGUUUAUUACGUUACUUAUGACAAAAAUCAUUCCAAUUAACAGUAUUGUAAUUUCACAAAUUGGAAGCAGUACUUUCUAAGAAUAGCACUUUUAAAAACUAUUCUAAUUGUGUAUAAACUACAUGUAAGGCAUUUUUAAUACAGGACUGAAUUGCCAGUGUCACUCUUAGGUGUUAGGAGAAUCUGGUUGCCUGGUUUGAAUUAUGAUCUUCUUCUUAUGACUUUUCUGAAAAGUGAUCUUCUGUUUAAAAUUAUAUGGCUUCAGGAAAACUGCACAGUUGGAAGGGAGGUUGGAAAAGAACAACAUUUAAAUGGUGCUGUUUAACCUUUGAUACCAUCAUAAAACACAUGUAGCUGAAAAUUCUUAUUCAUUAGAGCCUCCAAGAAUUUUUCUUACCUUUCCUGAAUUGCCAUAUAAUUUUAUUCAUAAUUUUUACUUAUUUAUACGUAUUCAUGAUUUAUAUCUUAUUAAUAUUGAGUUAACACAGGGGGUGGAGAGAGAUUAAUCUGUGUGUGCAUAUGUAUGUGUUGUUUUUGGUUGACAGAGUUUAAUUCGUGACCCUAGUAGCUAGGGAUCAAUGCAGGUUAUUAAACAUCUUUCAUGUAAAAGAUCCUGCCACCAUUACACUGUUGCAAUUGAAGUUAAUACUCAGUGUCUUAUAUUUAACUUAUUCUCAGGGAAUCAGGGAAUUUGGGGAAGCUCCAUGGAAUCCUUUGGGCUUUUAGGGUUUUGUUAUUGUUUUUUUUUAAGUAAGUUAACACUUCAGUUCACUGAGUCCUACCUGCUGUCAUUUAAGGGACUGUUUUGAAAAUUCUGCAUAAAAUUUGCUCCCCAAAUGUGUUAUUUAUCUUCACAUAAUUUGAAUAUUUUAAGUGUGUUUAUAUAUUAUUGAGAUGUCUAUAUGCAUGUAUAUUUGAGCUUGAGUGCCCAUCCAAACACUAUAAUAGAUGACUUAAUCUGUAGCUUAUAUACUUUGACCACAUGAAAAAGGCCUUUAUCCCUCCAAAAUUCAUGAUGUCUACAGAGCAGCAGCAAGAACAUUGUGGGUAAUUUUUGCUUUGGCAAACCAGCAAUUGGUUUAAUUUCUCAUUUAUUCAACAAGUAUUAUUGUGUGUCUUCAAUGUGCCAACUACUGGGGACAUCAAGAUGAAUAAAACAUCAUUCCUGACACAUUUACCAACACCGUGGAACUCAACCAAGUAGUUGAAAUAAAUGCACAAAUAAAUAAGCAGUGAAAAAUGUUUGUUGUGAAUGGAGCAGGCAGCACGUGAAAGAGUGACGAGAGAUGGUGGAGUGGAGUGCUUUAAUUUCAAAUUCUUUCCAGCUGAGAGAAGAGGGCAAGGCUUGAGCACCCAUGGGAUGUAAAACCUAAGAGUAAAGUAGUGAACCAAAGAGACAGGAAUGGCAGAAAAGAAAAAGAAGAAGGUUCAAAGGACUUGAGACGUGCCACCACUCUAGUCCAAGUUGCUGUCAUUUCUUGUGGGGGCCACGUUUUUAGCUAUCAGAGUUUUCUCCCAUUCAUUCUUGUCUGUCCUCAAACAUUUUCUAUGCUGCAACCUGAGUAGUUCCUUUAACACACACACACACACAGUUCAUGUGAUCCCAUGUUCAUCGUCCAUGAUGACCCACUGCUCUUAGAAUGAAAUCCUAAAUGUGGUCCGAGAGGGUCUUGUGGACUGGCUCUGCACUCUCAUCCCAUAUCAUGCCUUUCUUUGUGCUCCAGCCACUUAGACUUUCUUCCAGUCCUGACACUUGCAAAAUGGGUUUUGCCUCUCACCUCAGGAUGUUUUGUUCACUUUGUCCUUAACACCUAGAAUCUUCUUUCUCUGUUUUCCUGGAUAAUGCCUCUUUAUUCUUCAGAACUUAGCUAAUGCUUCACUUUUGAAAGGAACUUCUCCAUAACUUUUCUGACUGUCAAAUCCACCUAUUGCGGGCUCUCAGAGUAGCUUGUGCUUCUUUACAGUGCUGAUUAAUAAAUUCAUUCAUUCAAUAAAUAUAUAUUGCACAUUUACCAUGUGCUCUUCAUCUAGGCAACCAGAAUAUAUUCAUAACACAAAUAAGACAAAAACCUCUGCCCUCAUUGAGUUCACAUUAUAGUGGAAAGAAAAAGGGAUAAGAAGUAAAUAUACAUGUCACAUGGUAAUGUAUAAAAUGGGUAAAAUUUAAAUGUGAAAGGGAGAUUAGAAAUGCCAGGUGGGGUGAAAGGACGAGGAAGGUAGAUGGAAUUUUGAAUGGGUAGUUAGGGAAAGCCUAACAAAGCAGGUUAACAUUUGAGGUAUGGCCUAAAGCAGGCAAGUAAUAAGUAAGCCACGUGGAUGACUUGGAAAUAGCCUACCUAGCAAAGGAAAGAGCAAGUACAAAGACCUUGUGACAAGAAGGGCUUGGAGUUUUCAAGGACCAGCAAGAAGCCCAUUGUGUCUGGAGUGCAGUGGGUAAGAGAGAGAAGAGGCGGCCAUACAGUUAGAGAAGGAAGAGAGACCAGAUUAUGUUGGGUCAUGUUAAGGGUUUGAUCUUUACUUGGAGUGAGAAGGGACAUCUUUGGAGGGUUUGAUAGGAGGGAGACAUGGCCCACCUUAUAUUAUAAAAGGAUUGCUUUGGCUACUGUGUUGAGAGUAGACUAUAUAGAAGGUCAAGAAUGGUGGAAAGGAGACCAGUCUGGGAAAUCAUUGCUGUAAUCCAACUGAAAGUAGAUGGCAGAAUCAGAGAGACAGCAGUGGAGGAUGUAUAAAAGAGGUUGGAAUUAGCACACAGCUGGAAAUAAAGGAAAUAGAAUUUGGAUAGACAAGUAGGGCUUUAGGUAUGCAGGAAAGAGAGGAAUUAAUAAUAAUGCCAGGGCUUGUGAUGUGAAUGACUGAAAAAAAGUGCAGUUGCCCUUUUUACUGAGAAAGACUGAAUUUUGGGUUUAGACAUAUUAAGUUUGAGCUGUUUCUCAGACGUUUAAGUGAAGAUGUCAAGCAGACAACUGGAUAUAUGGGCUUGGAGUUUAAGGUAGAUUUAUAGGCUGGGGAUAUAGAUGAUAUUUUAAAAUAAGGAACCUGGAUGAGAUUAUCGAAGGACUGCAUGUGGGUAGAUAAAGAAAGAAAGGGCACGGACUGAGAUCUAGGACUCACCUGCAACAGGUGUAUUUUCACCUUCAUUCUAAUCACUAUUUGAUAGUGCCCAUGUCUUGCACUACCAAGGCACAGAAGAAAUGAAAACCCAAAGGAAAAUUCUUCAGGCAAAUUCUUCCAUUUUCCCCUCUUCCUAGUGACCCACAUUCUUUUGACCUUUAGUAACCCCAAUCCUUACCCUUCAUUUAUCUAGAGGUUGAUUAUUCAUCCUCUUCAAUUUACCCAUCUCCACUGUGUGCAAAAGCUUAUGCUUUUUGUUUAUGUUUAUCCAUACAUGUUCUAAUGCAAUAAUUACAUAUGGCAAUCUUUUUUCCUAACACGAAUAUAAAUACAUUAAGUUCAAAGUUUGUUGCUGACUAGAAUUAGUGCACUAAAAAUAAGCAUAAUUCUGGACUUGGUAUGACAUAAUUCAUCUGUCUCUUUUUAUCUUCUUUGUUAUCAAUUCCAUCAAAGAAGAUAAAAUCAUUCUCUCUUAUUUGACACCUCCUAGAACCAAAAUGUUUGAGCAGAAAGCAGAUAGAGAUUAAAAUUACAAAUUCAGAAUUGAGAUUUAGUUGACUCCCAGUCACAAGAAAGGAAUAAUAAAGUUUUCAGUUUGCCUAAACUUUGCUUCACAAGGAAUAAGUUGGCCCAUGACUAUAAAAACAUGAGAGUGCAAAUUUCUUUUUUUUUUUUGUCUUUUGUCUUUUUAGGGUCACACCUGUGGCAUAUGGGGGUUCCCAGGCUAGGGGUCAAAUUAGAGCUGUAGAUGCCAGCCUAUGCCACCACUACAGCAACGUUGGAUCCCAGCCAUAUCUGUGACCUACACCACACUCACAGCAACGCCUGAUCCUUAACCCACUGAGCGAGGCUAGGGAUUGAACCCUAGUCCUCAUGGAUACUAGCUGGGUUCGUUAACCACUGAGCCAUGACAGGAACUCCUGGAGUGCAAAAUUUCUUAAUACUUACUGUUUUCGUUCUUUACUCUUGCUUCUUUAUAGAGACAGUCAUGCCAUUUUCAUUAAUAGCCUAAGUGCAUUCCAGGGAGCAUGGUUAGAAGUGUUUCUUUAUAUUUAUUUGCAAGAUAAAGCAUGUCGUACCAGAAUUUCCUUGAGGCUGAGUUUCAGUUUCAAACCUACCACUUGAUAGAAAUCUCUACAUGCCACAAGUUCCCCACUGAAUUCUUACCACCAGGAUUCUGAGGACUCAACAGUGAGUUGUUCCACAUCUGAAGGAACCGAAGGGUAAUUAUUUCAGUCCGUUAACAUCCCAAGAACCCUCAAUAUACCCAGUGCAAGAAAACAAACAAGCAGUGACUACAACAAAAUCUGAAAUGCUUGAUUUCACAGUUUGAUAGUAAAUGCUGAGAAUCUUAUGAAUGUCAAUUUUUAAAAAUCGAGUUGAAAAUAAUGUAGCAAAAAAACUAUAAUCUAAACGUUCUUUGGGAACUUGGGCAAAACUGUCCCCCUGGAUGGCUGUAGAACUUCUGGAGACUUAUCAAUAGAUUCAUCACUAAGGAAAACACCACAUCAGUAUCCACUGCACUGUAUCUGUUGCAUCAAGUAAGGGUUAAUUUACACAGUGAAUUAUUAAAUGCAGUCCCACACCGUAACACAAUUGUGAACCUGAGAUGAUAUAGUGCUUCCCCAGUUUAUAAAAGUCUGUCACAGACGGAGUUCUUAAAUGGCUAAUUUAAAGGAAGCUGGCACACAAUCUAAAGAUGUAAUUUGAGUCAUGGCUGAUGAUAUACUUUUACUUGUUUAGCCUUUUAUGCAGCUUGUUUGCAUUACUUGAACAGAUUUGCUGUUUCUAUUCUAACUGCAUUGUGUAUGGCAUGAGGAAUGCUGAUUAAUUCUUGUCGGUAAUCAUCACACACGCUGCCAAUGUUGUACAUUUAUAUCCUCCGUUAUAUAAUCUAUGUAUGCAUUCCUUAUGUUAUUAGUGGAGGGAGCAUGUAAUAGGUAAAUAAAUCUGUUCUUGAUUUAGAUUAAAAAUGACUGUUGAUCCUUUUCUGUCUUUAAAAGGUAGACCUGCCUUGGAUGGAGGAAGCUGGCAUAGGCUUUAUCUGCUUCAAGUAGCUUUAAUUAGAAUUCUUUAAUUGUCCCUGCAGCUGCCACAAAUUGUAAACGCUAAAAUAUCAAUUGUAAUUGGAAGAUAAAUUUGCAUUUUAUUCAAGACGUGAAGUUAAUAUGUCUUUGUGAACUUUGAGACGGCGAGGCUAUUCACUGCCAUGGGAGUGUCUCUAAAUAAUCCUUUUUGAUCAUUUUGAUACUUACAUUGUAGGUGACUGCCUCAUUUAUUUACUUUUAGAAAAAGAACUAAGUGAAAAACAACUUCUAGGUGAGCUUAAUUUAACAGACUACUUACUGGUUUAUUCAGAGACUAGUGAGUAAAUAGGUUUUUAAAUGAUGGGUUAUAGUUUGAAAAAGGCAUUUCACUAGAAGUCCUAAUGCGUUUAAAAGGAAGUGAAGUUGUCACACCUUCUUUUAUGCUCACAGUCAAAUGACAACUUUCAGCAGAGUUGUAUAGGGAGAGGAUGAAAAAAUAAAUAACAGUUAAUAUGAAAAAGCUAAUGAGUCCAUAUCUUUAUCACCAUAUUCCCAACUUUCUCAGGCUUUUCCUGAAUUGCUAAACUGGAAACACAAAUCAGAUGAUGAGUCGAUGUAAUUAGCCUUCCUGUUUUCUAGAAGAGUAAAUGAAAUACUGGUUUCUACGAAAACCUCUCUGUUCAGAAUUUUUGCUUCAGUCAGUCAUUCACACCUUAAAGAAGGUAAAAAGUGUAACUAUUGACAUUGGUGUAAAUGGUGAAAGCAACGUAUUAUUUCAGGUAACUGAAAAGUCCUAAGGGAAGACUAAAGAAAGGAUCCCAGGCUUUUAUGUUCUUUUGUCUCUAUAGUAUUCUCAGUUGGCUUUAUGCUGAGACCUUAUUUGUUUAUAGUAUGGCCACUGGCACCUCUAAAUAUUUAUUUUCCAUUGCCAAGAAUUCUUGUAUAGAAAAAAUUUUCUUCCCUGACAAGUUCAGCCAAAAUCUUGGAAUUAAUUCUUGGUGGAUCCAAUUGGCCUAUAUUGGAUUAUGUGCCCAACACUUAGCUAGUCACUGUAAAGAGGGAAGUUUGCGUUUAUCUUACAGAAAUGCAGUAUGCAAAAUUUUGUUUGAUCUUAGCCUAUUCUUAAGAUCAGGGUGGAGAUAAGCCUCUCCCUACCACAUUUACU
ensembl:lncRNA